GAUUCUACUUGACUCAAGAAGGUGGCAUUUGCCCGCAUAAAAAUUCCAAAUUCUUUGUAAUUUAACCCAUGGUCUAGCUAUUUACUUCUAUUAAAAUUCAUAUUUUAACCUUAUAUUUAUAUUUAUAUAUGAUUUGUCCCCAGAUAAAAAAAUUCCUACAUUCGUCCCUGAGUACAAAAUAGAGGCAACAAUUGGAGAUGGUUUAAGGAAUGGACGGACACCCGAAAAGAUAGACCAAACAGCUGAAGCAUUUGGUUAUGGUGCGGUGAAGUAAGUAGUCAUCUCUAUUCUACUGCAUGCUGGUGACUUUUUGUAACCAAGGCUGCAACCAAAUUUGAUAAAUGUUUUCAUGCGCUACACCUAACUUGCGGUUUCGUUUAAUUUUGGUUUCAAGGUAUGCUUACCUGAAACAACGUACGGAUCGACUCCUUAUACUUUCAGCUGUAACAAUAUGCUUGAAGACAAGCAUAAAGGAAACCUACGAUAGUUGAAAACAACAAAAUAGGCAGAAGGAAACAUUUGUGAAACAGAGCAGCAAAAAGAAGCUAAUGGUCAAAAUAUCGAAACCAAAGAUGAAGGAAUGUGACGCCACGCUGAUUGGGAGAAGUCAAAGCAGGACCUGAAGUGUGAAGAUUUUGAUCAUAUUAUAAUAAGGAGGAAGAGACAGCCUUUUUACCUUCAAUACGACAUGCUCGGAUCUGCUCAAUCUGAUCAGAGAGUCUUGCAAGACAUAGAUGAGUUUAAAAAGGUAUUCAAAUUUGCUUAAUGUUUUCGUCUUAUGUUUCAACAUCUACUUUUUUGCAAAGAGGGAAAGCUAGAAUUAGAUCAUACCCAUGAAAGAGCACUAGGACGUCAUAUGCUACAAAUUGCUGAGACGGUUAAAGGAAGCGUGCACCGAAUUGUUUCCUAACGUGUUGCGGAAGUAACUUUACAAAUUAUCUGAACACUUCAACAACUUCUACCUCUCAACUAUCGGGUAAGCAUAUUCCCAGGUGAGUCUACGUUUCUACUUGGCCUAAUAUUGUAACAGUAGGAAAAAAAAUUUGUAACAGUAGACUGCAUCUAGCUGCAAAAUUAACCGACCAUUUUUCUAAUCAUUCACUUGAAGUAUUCAUUUGUUGGUAUUGUCUUGUUCGCAAAUGUUUUACCCGAUAUAUUUUUAUUGUAAGCGAAAUCGAUGUGGUAUUAACAAGUUUUGGUUUACUCGAACCGGUUUGGGUAAAUCCGUAAAUGGCUGCUAUCUGUCUCUGUCUGGUUCUUGUGGGGGACCAGCCAAACGGUGACGUUUGUAUAGUGACAGUGGCAUGAGGAAGACCAUAAACGGAAAGCACGGGAACGGGUGUGUUCUUAAGGGCGUUUGCUGAUAUCUCAUGUUUUUAUAGGUUUUUAGAUUCAUAAUUUAGGUUAUUAUGAUCAUUUUAGGUUGCAUUUAGAUGUAUAUAUUGCAUUUGCAUACACAUUUGCAUAUUACAGGGUCUAAAGUGCACAAUUGGAAGUUUAGGUCAAAUUCGGAGGUUAACCUUGCAAUAUUACAGAGUUUGUGCCCAGUCUGAGAACCAUCAAGAGGCGAGGGACCAUUCUGCAAAUCUAUAAAAUUUGCCUGGGCUAAAUUGUCACAAUCAGAAGUACAGGGGUUGAUUCGUGAGGUCGUUUCUGCACAUUCAAUAGUUUUGGGGCCACAAAGUAAAUAUCCAAAAGUUUAAGGGCCAGAUGCGUAAAUAUGCUAGAAUUCACCAUUGGAGAAGAUCGAAGCUUCCUCUUCGAUCCGCGACGGAGAGCUUGAUUCCGACGGUUACGGUGGCCACCACGACGGCGCGGCUUGGUUCGGCGACGACAGAGCACGGCAACGGAGGGCCCAGACUUGGAGCCACGGCGGAUGAACCGAUGACGCGAGUGGAGAGGACGAGUCCAGUGCUGCUGGCCAGAGCACGAGCUCAACCACCACCGCGAGCAAGACGACGACGAACUUGACAGAAACGAAACCGGCACGGAUUGAAUCUCGGCGUGGAACAAGCAGAGGACAAGAUGGUGUCGAGGCUAAAGCAGUGGCAGUUCAGAUUGGUGACACGGUGGUUCUGUUGCAGCUGCGUCGAGACGAGGAGAUUCAAAGCGAGCUUGACGCAGCGGAGGAGAGACAUCGCUGGGAGAUGAAACGGGAGCUGGAGCGUUCAACGGGAGCGGAGGCUACAACACCGCUCGGCUUUACACGAAGAGGCGUAGAAGAUGACAGCGGGGUCUUGAAACGGGGUAAUGAAGCCGCUGUGGACGCGAUUUCAAUUGGUUGACCGAUUUAUUCCGGGUUGACCCGGUUUAAUGUUAGAUCUAUUUCUUUUUUUGCUUGUUGAGGGUUCUUAAUGCUAUUUUAGUCUUGAUCAUACUAAAAUAGAUCCCUAGACAUUUCAUCCCCGGAAGGUGUUUGAUGAAAUGUCUGAACCAACUCUUCAAUGCUUUUAAUACACUUUGCCAAAGGGAUUUGUUGUUAAAGGUGUUAAGAUUGCUAUUAGACUUGUCCA